CUGUCCAGUGAUGAUGGACAUGCCCAGAACUGGCACACACAUUUAAACAGAUGAUAUUUUGGCCAUCACUGGCUGAAGCUGGAUUCUGCUCUCAGUUACGGCAGCUGAAUAUGGAAUGUUCAUUUAGAUGUCAAUGGCAUAACUUUGGUUUUGUUCCUGAGCAUUGAGCCAAUCCAUGGCCCUCAGUUCUCCCUCCUUUACAUUCAAAAUAACCUUCUACUGAGCACAUACUUUCAUCUGUAUCUCUCUUUUCAUCUCUUCAGAAGAAGUAACAAUUUAGAUGCAGUAAUCAAGAAGCAGAUAGAUCCAGAGAAGAGAGCAUUUUGGAUUGAAGUCUCUAAACCCAUCAAAACUGCCAUUGUAAAUCAAACUGACAGUCAAUUACAAGAUGAACUACGCAUUUGAACAAGUCCAGCUUAGAAAGCCCAGCCAUCUCUAAUAUACUUAUGGACCUGCAAAUGCUCUUCAUUUGCAGGACAGAGGGGUGACCACCGCGUGCGAUCAGCUGCUGCUGAGGUGUGGUAUAUAAAAAAAUAGCAGAACAGUAAAGGAACUCAGAGGAAUUUAGUCAAAAUGAUCAGAAAAGCGUUAUCUGCCUCCCAAGGAAUAAACUUGAGUUGGAAUUCUAACAGCGCAAAGCAAAGCACAGGAGAGGAUGUGGUAACCGAGCAUAACAAGAGUGAGGAGGAACAGGCCUGUCCCCAUCUGCUUCUUUGCACCCCGUGGAUUUGCAGGAACACUGUGUCCCUGCCUGGGCUCUGGCUGGAGUAGAACAAGAAGGAAAGAAAGCCACAGUGUCAAAACUUGAAUUACUGCAGUAGCAGCAGAUAGAGGAAUGGCCAUUAGCAUUACCCAUUGUGACACUGUGCUCAAUCCAUCAGUUUGAGUACCUUAUGUUAAGUGGCAGUGGACUUCAGAGAUCAGUAGUGCUUUUUUGUUCUAUUUAAUCUCUCCUGCUUUUCUCAUCAUUCCCAGUCUUGCUCCUAACCCAUUGCUUUCCUGCUAUUCUUUUGUUAAGUCAAUAAGUGAUCUCCUUCAUGGGCCAGAAUAACAUGACAUUUAGUGGGAUAAGUAGUUUCUUUCCUGCAUGAAUUGUGUUUCACCUGGCAUCCACACCCACUCUCUCUUCAAUUAUAUCUUUAAAAGAAACUUAACAAUGUCUUCUGUUACUUGAUUGCUUUGAGGGGUCCCAAUUCUUUAACUGCUCCAGUGCUAGACAGGGACAGCAAAGCAAUGGGCUGUGAAUUGCACCUAGAAGCACAUACACAUUUGUUCCUGCAUACUUCAGUG
ensembl:lncRNA